rnacentral:rRNA from 1 species
UCCAUGAUCCUAUGCUGCCGAGAAAAGCCUCUAGCGAGCUGGUACAUGGCCCGUACCCCAAACCGACACAGGUGGUCAGGUAGAGAAUACUAAGGCGAUCGAGAGAACUGUGGUUAAGGAACUCGGCAAAAUGCCCCCGUAACUUCGGGAGAAGGGGGACCAGUCCUGGUGACGACAUUUACUGUCUGAGCUGGGGUUGCUCGCAGAGACCAGAGAGAAGCGACUGUUUACUAAAAACACAGGUCCGUGCGAAGUCGUAAGACGAUGUAUACGGACUGACGCCUGCCCGGUGCUGGAAGGUUAAGAGGACCGGUCAGCCACUUCGGUGGCGAAGCUGAGAAUUUAAGCCCCAGUAAACGGCGGUGGUAACUAUAACCAUCCUAAGGUAGCGAAAUUCCUUGUCGGGUAAGUUCCGACCUGCACGAAUGGCGUAACGACUUCUCUGCUGUCUCAACCACAGACUCGGCGAAAUUGCAGUACGAGUAAAGAUGCUCGUUACGCGCGGCAGGACGAAAAGACCCCGGGACCUUCACUAUAGCUUGGUAUUGGUGUUCGGUUCGGUUUGUGUAGGAUAGGUGGGAGACUGUGAAACUCGCACGCCAGUGUGGGUGGAGUCAUUGUUGAAAUACCACUCUGACCGUAUUGGACAUCUAACCUCGGACCAUGAUCUGGUUCAGGGACAGUGCCUGGUGGGUAGUUUAACUGGGGCGGUUGCCUCCUAAAAAGUAACGGAGGCGCCCAAAGGUUCCCUCAGCCUGGUUGGCAAUCAGGUGUUGAGUGUAAGUGCACAAGGGAGCUUGACUGUGAGACGUACAUGUCGAGCAGGGACGAAAGUCGGGACUAGUGAUCCGGCACCGGCAAGUGGAAGCGGUGUCGCUCAACGGAUAAAAGGUACCCCGGGGAUAACAGGCUGAUCUUCCCCAAGAGUCCAUAUCGACGGGAUGGUUUGGCACCUCGAUGUCGGCUCGUCGCAUCCUGGGGCUGGAGUAGGUCCCAAGGGUUGGGCUGUUCGCCCAUUAAAGCGGCACGCGAGCUGGGUUUAGAACGUCGUGAGACAGUUCGGUCUCUAUCCGCCGCGCGCGUAAGAAACUUGAGGAAACCUGUCCCUAGUACGAGAGGACCGGGACGGACGAACCUCUGGUGUGCCAGUUGUUCCACCAGGAGCACCGCUGGUUAGCUACGUUCGGAAGGGAUAACCGCUGAAAGCAUCUAAGCGGGAAGCCUGUUCCAAGAUGAGGUUUCUCACCACCUAGCGUGGUUAAGGCCCCCCACAGACCAUGGGGUUGAUAGGCCAGAACUGUAAGCACAGCAAUGUGUUCAGGUGACUGGUACUAAUCGGCCGAGGACUUACGAAA